GGUUGCGAUCAUACCAGCACUAAUGCACCGGAUCCCAUCAGAACUCCGCAGUUAAGCGAGCUUGGGCGAGAGUAGUACUAGGAUGGGUGACCCCCUGGGAAGUCCUCGUGAUGCAACAC
rnacentral:rRNA from 1 species